GUGCCAGCCGCCGCGGUAAUACAGAGGGUGCGAGCGUUGUCCGGAAUCACUGGGCGUAAAGGGCGCGUAGGCGGCUUGAUAAGGUUGCGGUGAAAGCCCGGGGCUCAACCCCGGGUCGGCCGUGGCAACUGUCGAGCUGGAGCACUGUAGAGGCAGGUGGAAUUCCGGGUGUAGCGGUGGAAUGCGUAGAGAUCCGGAAGAACACCGGUGGCGAAGGCGGCCUGCUGGGCAGUGGCUGACGCUGAGGCGCGACAGCGUGGGGAGCAAACAGGAUUAGAAACCCCGGUAGUCC
rnacentral:rRNA from 1 species